rnacentral:sRNA from 1 species
GUCAACCGUGACCCCUCACUAAAGUAAGGGGCUUCAAGUACUUGCUUCGAGUCUGGUUGUCUAGACUCAGUGUCUUUGAGGCACUACGUUAUCUUGGUGAUCACACCUGGGAAUGAUACCCUAGUUCCCAGCUCUGUGCGGGCGCUGUAAACAGUCCUAAGGUCAAUGGGACCGUCAACCCGUGAGAAAAUCAAUGCUAGUCAUUGAUUAAGCUUUGAUAACCUUGUCGAAGGGUAACAUCAUGAACUCAAGUCC